GUGCCAGCCGCCGCGGUAAUACGAAGGGUGCGAACGUUAUUCGGAAUCAUUGGGCGUAAAGGGUGCGUAGACGGCAUAGAAAGUUGGCUGUUAAAUCCCCCGGCCUAACCGGGGACCAGCAGUCAAAACUCCUAAGCUAGAGGAUAGAAGAAAGAAGUGGAAUUCUCGGAGUAGCGGUAAAAUGCGUAGAUAUCGAGAGGAACACCGAUGGCGAAGGCAGCUUCUUAGUCUAUUCCUGACGUUGAGGCACGAAAGCGUGGGUAGCAAACAGGAUUAGAAACCCCCGUAGUCC
rnacentral:rRNA from 1 species